GACGAACGCUGGCGGCGUGCUUAACACAUGCAAGUCGAACGGAAAGGCCCUGCUUUUGUGGGGUGCUCGAGUGGCGAACGGGUGAGUAACACGUGAGUAACCUGCCCUUGACUUUGGGAUAACUUCAGGAAACUGGGGCUAAUACCGGAUAGGAGCUCCUGCUGCAUGGUGGGGGUUGGAAAGUUUCGGCGGUUGGGGAUGGACUCGCGGCUUAUCAGCUUGUUGGUGGGGUAGUGGCUUACCAAGGCUUUGACGGGUAGCCGGCCUGAGAGGGUGACCGGCCACAUCGGGACUGAGAUACGGCCCAGACUCCUACGGGAGGCAGCAGUGGGGAAUAUUGCACAAUGGGCGGAAGCCUAAUGCAGCAACGCCGCGUGCGGGAUGACGGCCUUCGGGUUGUAAACCGCUUUCGCCUGUGACGAAGCGUGAAUGACGGUAAUGGGUAAAGAAGCACCGGCUAACUACGUG
rnacentral:rRNA from 1 species